rnacentral:rRNA from 1 species
CCCUUAGAUGUUCUGGGCCGCACGCGUGCUACACUGACCGGCGCAACAAGUUUCUUUCCUUGGCUCGAUAGGCCUGGGUAAUCUUUGAACGCCGGUCGUGAUGGGGAUAGAUCCUUGCAAUUUUUGAUCUUCAACGAGGAAUUCCUAGUAAAUGCGAGUCAUCAUCUCGCGUUGAUUACGUCCCUGCCCUUUGUACACACCGCCCGUCGCACCUACUGAUUGGAUGACUCGGUGAAGAAUCGGGACCGUGAGAACAAUCGAUUCAUUUCGAAUGUACUUGUGGGAACCUUUCUUAACCUCGUUUUCUAGAAGAAGGUGAAGUCGUAACA